rnacentral:lncRNA from 1 species
CUGGGGACGCAGGAGUGAGCAUCCCUUUGUUGGCAAAGUGGGUGACCAGUUUGUGCCAUGCAAGCAGGACAGCCCCUAAACCUGCCCAGUGCUGCCAGAAAGAGAUAAAAUGUCAAGAAUUCAGAGCAAGGGCGGCUGGCUCCUUUCGUCCCUUCACUUGACCACUGCCCCUUCUCAAGCACCCUGCACUGCCAUCAGAGCCUACUUCUCUCCCGUAAGGAGGAAACAGCAGAGCAACAGAGCUAAUGCUGCUCUGUAUCUCAAGCCUCCCUCACCUCCUCUGCCUGCAAGUUAGAUGAUGUAAGACAGCCUUAGGACACUGCCGCUGUGUUGUUUCCACUACCCUACCACAGAGACUCGCAGUCCCAGACACCAGCACCAGCCCAGCUGGCCUUCAGGAACUAGGCUAACAUCAGUAUUUUUUGCAGGCAAUUUAACCAAGUUUGCGACUCUGGCAAGAUGCUCAGUGCAGCACUGCAAAUAACACCAAAGAGAAUGGAUCAAUGUAAUGCCCUAUUGACAAAGUCUGAACUCUAAUACAUAUACUUUGUACAUUUUUAUUGUGUUCAUGUAUGUUGAUUCAUAGCUGUUUU